ACCCCGGGAAACUGGGGAUAAUUCCCAAUAGGCGAAGAACUCUGGAAUGAGUCUUCACCAGAAAAGACGUUUACGUUAUGCUCGUAAGCGUCGCCCAAGGAUGAGGCCGCGACCGAUCAGGUUGUUGGUGAGGUAAUGGCUCACCAAGCCUUUUACCGGUGCGGGCCGUGAGAGCGGGAGCCCGGAGAUGGGCACUGAGACAAGGGCCCAGGCCCUACGGGGCGCAGCAGUCGCGAAAACUUUGCAAUACACGAAAGUGUGACAGGGCUAUCCCGAGUGCCAUCCGCUGAGGAAGGCUUUUACCCAGUCUAGAACGCUGGGGGAAUAAGGAGAGGGCAAGUCUGGUGU
rnacentral:rRNA from 1 species